UACGUAGGGUGCGAGCGUUGUCCGGAAUGAUUGGGCGUAAAGGGCGCGUAGGCGGCUGAUUAAGUCUGGAGUGGAAGUCCUAUUUUCAAGGUAGGAAUUGCUUUGGAAACUGAUCAGCUUGAGUGCAGGAGAGGUUAUCGGAAUUCCCGGUGUAGCGGUGAAAUGCGUAGAGAUCGGGAGGAACACCAGUGGCGAAGGCGGGUAACUGGACUGCAACUGACGCUGAGGCGCGAAAGUGUGGGGAGCAAACAGGAUUAGAUACCCUGGUA
rnacentral:rRNA from 1 species